UUCUGCCAAAACCCAAAUUUUCUAUGGUUGACCUCGGAUCAGGUAGGGAUACCCGCUGAACUUAAGCAUAUCAAUAAGCGGAGGA
rnacentral:rRNA from 1 species